rnacentral:rRNA from 1 species
GUAGGUGGCAAGCGUUGUCCGGAAUUAUUGGGCGUAAAGCGCGCGCAGGCGGUUCUUUAAGUCUGAUGUGAAAGCCCACGGCUCAACCGUGGAGGGUCAUCGGAAACUGGAGAACUUGAGUACAGAAGAGGAAAGCGGAAUUCCACGUGUAGCGGUGAAAUGCGUAGAGAUGUGGAGGAACACCAGUGGCGAAGGCGGCUUUCUGGUCUGUAACUGACGCUGAGGCGCGAAAGCGUGGGGAGCAAACAGGGAUUAGAUACCCUGGUAGUCCACGCCGUAAACGAUGAGUGCUAAGUGUUAGGGGGUUUCCGCCCCCUUAGUGCUGCAGCUAACGCAUUAAGCACUCCGCCUGGGGAGUACGGCCGCAAGGCUG